UGGGUUGGAACCCUCCAGAAGUCCGCAGAGAUGUGGAUGUGCUCGCAAGAGAACUGGAUGUCCAGGUGCUGCAUGGCUGUCGUCAGCUCGUGUCGUGAGAUGUUGGGUUAAGUCCCGCAACGAGCGCAACCCUUGUCGUUAGUUGCCAGCGGUUCGGCCGGGCACUCUAACGAGACUGCCGGUGUUAAACCGGAGGAAGGUGGGGAUGACGUCAAGUCCUCAUGGCCCUUAUGCCCAGGGCUACACACGUGCUACAAUGGCCGGUACAAAGGGUCGCUAACCCGCGAGGGUGUGCUAAUCCCAAAAAACCGGCCUCAGUUCAGAUUGGAGUCUGCAACUCGACUCCAUGAAGUCGGAAUCGCUAGUAAUCCCUGAUCAGCAGGCAGGGGUGAAUACGUUCCC
rnacentral:rRNA from 1 species